rnacentral:rRNA from 1 species
UACGUAGGGACCAAGCGUUGUUCGGAUUUACUGGGCGUAAAGGGCGCGUAGGCGGCUUAACAAGUCACUUGUGAAAUCUCCGGGCUUAACUCGGAACGGCCAAGUGAAACUGUCAAGCUAGAGUGCAGAAGGGGCAAUCGGAAUUCUUGGUGUAGCGGUGAAAUGCGUAGAUAUCAAGAGGAACACCUGAGGUGAAGACGGGUUGCUGGGCUGACACUGACGCUGAGGCGCGAAAGCCGGGGGAGCAAACGGG